rnacentral:rRNA from 1 species
GUCCACGCAGUAAACGAUGAAUACUAGUUGUCUGCGAUAUACUGUAGGUGACACAGCGAAAGCGUUAAGUAUUCCACCUGGGGAGUACGUUCGCAAGAAUGAAACUCAAAAGGAAUUGACGGGGGCCCGCACAAGCGGAGGAACAUGUGGUUUAAUUCGAUGAUACGCGAGGAACCUUACCCGGGCUUGAAAUGCAGAAGACCGAAGUGGAAACACUUCUUCCAGCAAUGGCUUCUGUGUAGGUGCUGCAUGGUUGUCGU